AUUGAACGCUGGCGGCAGGCCUAACACAUGCAAGUCGGACGGUAGCACAGAGAGCUUGCUCUUGGGUGACGAGUGGCGGACGGGUGAGUAAUGUCUGGGGAUCUGCCCGAUAGAGGGGGAUAACCACUGGAAACGGUGGCUAAUACCGCAUAACGUCGCAAGACCAAAGAGGGGGACCUUCGGGCCUCUCACUAUCGGAUGAACCCAGAUGGGAUUAGCUAGUAGGCGGGGUAAUGGCCCACCUAGGCGACGAUCCCUAGCUGGUCUGAGAGGAUGACCAGCCACACUGGAACUGAGACACGGUCCAGACUCCUACGGGAGGCAGCAGUGGGGAAUAUUGCACAAUGGGCGCAAGCCUGAUGCAGCCAUGCCGCGUGUAUGAAGAAGGCCUUCGGGUUGUAAAGUACUUUCAGCGGGGAGGAAGGCGAUGCGGUUAAUAACCGCGUCGAUUGACGUUACCCGCAAAAGAAGCACCGGCUAACUCCGU
rnacentral:rRNA from 1 species